CUGUGAUCACAGUAUAGACAUAUCCUAAGAUAUUUUGGCUGUUAUUCCAUACCAAAAGCUACAUGGAGAGAACACAUAGGUUGCACGGUCAAGCACUCAAGCACAGCUUUCUUGAGGUGCAGUUGAAGUGAUGAGGAAAUAAUAUGGCUCCAUAUUAGCAGAAAAGCAGCCUGCUGUGUCUGUUCCUGAACCUUGAAUGCAAACAGCCGAUGGAGUAAGUUUGCCUGAAUUAUGAGGUUUUCACUCAGC